GACCCUACGGGGCGCAGCAGUGGGGAAUAUUGCGCAAUGGGGGCAACCCUGACGCAGCAACGCCGCGUGAUUGAAGAAGGCCUUCGGGUUGUAAAGAUCUUUAAUCAGGGACGUAAAAUGACGGUACCUGAAGAAUAAGCUCCGGCUAACUACGAGCCAGCAGCCGCGGUAAUACGUAGGGAGCAAGAGUUAUCCGGAUUUACUGGGUGUAAGGGGCGUGUAGGAGGGCAUGUAAGUCAGGAG
rnacentral:rRNA from 1 species